rnacentral:tmRNA from 1 species
GGGGGUGUACUGGUUUCGACUUGGAAACAAAGUUUUAGUGGCAUGCGGAGGACGUCGGUUGGCCUCCUUAAUCAUCCGAUACACUUAUAAUUGGCGAAGAAGAACUUCUCCAAGCUGCUUAAGGCUUAACCGCUUUAAGUUGCCGAUAGUCUAAGGCCUGACCAGGAGCAUUAGAACUAUCGUCAUAAACCCUGGUAUGAACUCUAUUCUUUCUGCUUUUUGGAAUAGAGAUUCAAGAUCGCUAAGAAGCACGUCAAUUCGCAGUGUGGCGCCUUCCUUCAGAAUUGAUGUAUUAAAGAAGGCGAUAAGCAUGUAGUCAUUACUAUGGAGUUUGCUAAGGACGAGAGUUCGAUUCUCUCCACCUCCA